UCAUUUUCAGCGUCAGUGUUUGCUAAAGUUA
rfam:Glossina morsitans morsitans, isolate Yale, WGS project CCAG01000000 data, contig: ctg10017024